rnacentral:rRNA from 1 species
GGAAAAGAAACUAACAAGGAUUCCCCUAGUAACGGCGAGUGAAGCGGGAAGAGCUCAAAUUUGAAAUCUGGUAGCCUUCGGUUGCCCGAGUUGUAAUCUAGAGAAGUGUUUUCCGCGUUGGCCCAUGUACAAGUCCCUUGGAACAGGGCGUCAUAGAGGGUGAGAAUCCCGUCCUUGACAUGGACCCCCAAUGCUUUGUGAUACACUUUCAACGAGUCGAGUUGUUUGGGAAUGCAGCUCAAAAUGGGUGGUGAAUUCCAUCUAAAGCUAAAUAUUGGCGAGAGACCGAUAGCGAACAAGUACCGUGAGGGAAAGAUGAAAAGCACUUUGGAAAGAGAGUUAAACAGUACGUGAAAUUGUUGAAAGGGAAACGAUUGAAGUCAGUCAUGCUCUUUGGAUUAAGCCGUUCUGCGGUGUAUUUCAUUGAGCGGGGUCAACAUCAGUUUUGAUCGCUGGAAAAGGGCAGGAGGAAGGUAGCACUCUCGGGUGAACUUAUAGCCUCUUGUCGUAUACAGUGAUUGGGACUGAGGAACGCAGCAUGCCUUUUGGCCGGGAUUCGUCCACGUACAUGCUUAGGAUGUUGACAUAAUGGCUUUAAACGA